UUACGGCCAUAACACAUUGAAACAACGGUUCCCGUACGUUCACCGAAGUUAAGCAACUGAGAUUAGUCAGUACUUUGAUGGGUGAUCGCUUGUGAAUAGCGGGUGUU